rnacentral:lncRNA from 1 species
GAAAUCCAAGGUGAGUGAGAGUUGUGUAUGUCCUACAUGGGCAUGGUUAUUAGAAACCUCUGCAGGAGAAGUACUCGGCGAAGAAAAUCAGUGUUCAGAAUGUGGUAGGUUGUGGUGGAGAACGCAAAGCCCAGCAAUGGUUUGGAUGAUAUAGAAGUGAGCGUACCAUCUUUUUCUAAUUGUUAUUGUUAUUGUCUAUUAUCCAUGGCUUUGUAAUGGAGGGUUAGCUCUUUAGUACAACCCCGUGGAAAAUGUUGAAUGAGGUUUGAGUUGAUCGUGAAAUGUUACGUUUUGAAACUGCGUGAGGAAUUUAGCAAGACACUUGUAAAAGAGUCUCGAGGUAAAAGGGAAUAAUUUUUUUCGAUGAAUAAAGGGAAAUAAUU